rnacentral:rRNA from 1 species
UACGAAGGGUGCAAACGUUGCUCGGAAUUAUUGGGCGUAAAGCGCACGUAGGCGGCUUUGCAAGUCGGAUGUGAAAUCCCUCGGCUUAACCAAGGAAGUGCAUCCGAAACUGCAGAGCUUGAGUACUUAAGAGGAUCGCGGAAUUCCCGGUGUAGGGGUGAAAUUCGUAGAUAUCGGGAGGAACACCAGUGGCGAAGGCGGCGAUCUGGGAAGAUACUGACGCUGAGGAGCGAAAGCGUGGGGAGCGAACAGG